GCGAACACAUCUCGAAAGAGAUUAAAAAUAUAAAAGCUAUGAGCUUUACUACAGAUAUAUGGAGCUCUGCUGUGAGUCCAAUGUCGCUUUUAAGUUUAACAGUCCACUGGUUGGACACAAGCUGUACACCACACGGUGCAAUGCUUCAAGCCAAAAACUUUCACGGUUCACACACCAGCGAUACCAUUUAGGCUGCAAGAAUAUACUUGACCAGUGGCACAUUCCUUUGAAUAAAGUGCAUGUCAUACUCCGGGACAAUGCAAGCAACAUGAAAAAGGCCAUGGACAACAUAGGGGUGCGGAGCUUAGGCUGUUUUGCUCACAGCUUGCAGCUUGAAGUCAAUGAGGGACUACUGUCACAACGGAGUGUGAGCGAUGCCAUUGCAAUCGGUAGACAAAUUGUGGGGCAUUUUAAACAUUCUCCACUUGCGUAUUCAAGGUUGCAAGAUAUCCAGCUCCAGAUGCAAAUGCAACCUAAACGCCUGCAACAAGACGUCAAAACAAGGUGGAAUUCUACGUACUUGAUGAUACAGAGUCUUCUGGAACAGAAGCGAGUCCUCUGUGCUUACAUUGCUGACCAUGACCUGCCCAGUACACUGACCGCUAACCAGUGGGCUUAGCUAGAAAAAACGAGCAUUGUUCUAGCACCAUUUGAAGAGCUAACAAGCAAAGUAAGCUCAUCGACUGCCUCCACAGCUGACGUCAUUCCAGCUGUCACCGUCCUCAAACGCAUCCUUGCUAAAGAAGGCGAUGCAGAUACUGGCAUCAAAACAAUGAAAAAAAACCCUGCUUCAAGCUGUCAGCAAAUGCUUCGAUAAUGUGGAAGAUGAACCCCUAUAUGUAUUUGCCACCCUGCUGGACCCAAGAUAUAAAGACAGAUACUUUACAAGUGCACAAUCUGCAAAGCGUGCAAAAGAUGCACUGACAGGUAAACUAGAGGAAGACCUGAGUAGAGGCGCAGCUGGAGCAUCACAGGCCACAGAACCACAGGAAAAGUUCCCUCAGGUGGAAGCAGCAGCACCGAGCAGCUUUAUGCAAGAGUUUGACCAAAUUGUGGAGGAGUGUGAAGAUCCCGGUGCAGCAAGCAGCUCGAGCCCUGCAGUCCAACUGCAUGGAUAUCUUGCAGAGAAAACCGUCGCUGCCUCAGACAACCCAUACCAGUACUGGGGAGUCAACAAAUACAGAUUACCUUGUCUUGUUGCCACUGCCACAAAAUACCUCUGUGCCCCCAGCACUAGUGUAGAAAGUGAGAGAGUGUUCAGCACAGUUUCCAACAUUGUGGAUGAAAAGAGAAGUAGGCUUACAGCAGAGAUAGCAGAAAUGCUUGUCUUCAUGAGAAAGAAUUUGCCAUUGCUGAUUAAGUGAACAUUCACAUGUCAUGUUUGUGAUACUGCACUACAUGUUUACAAUGUUUGGUUAUUAUUAUUUGUAUGUGUGAUCAAGUUGUUGUUCGACCAACUUUUUAUUUGUUUAUUCAGCAUUUGUUUAUUACUCAGGUUCACCUGCUAUGUUGCAUUUUAAAUUCCU
ensembl:lncRNA